rnacentral:rRNA from 1 species
CGGCCUACCAAGGCGACGAUCCAUAGCCGGCCUGAGAGGGUGAACGGCCACAUUGGGACUGAGACACGGCCCAGACUCCUACGGGAGGCAGCAUG